GCCAGGAUAGCUCAGAUGGCAGAGCAGGACUUUCGUAAAGUCAAGGUCGAGAGUUCGAUUCUCUCUCCUGGCU
rnacentral:tRNA from 3 species